rnacentral:rRNA from 1 species
UACGGAAGGCAGCAGUGGGGAAUAUUGCACAAUGGGCGCAAGCCUGAUGCAGCCAUGCCGCGUGUAUGAAGAAGGCCUUCGGGUUGUAAAGUACUUUCAGUCGUGAGGAGGGUGUUAAGGUUAAUAACCUUAGCAAUUGACGUUAGCGACAGAAGAAGCACCGGCUAACUCCGUGCCAGCAGCCGCGGUAAUACGGAGGGUGCGAGCGUUAAUCGGAAUUACUGGGCGUAAAGGGCACGCAGGCGGUUAAUUAAGUUGGAUGUGAAAUCCCCGGGCUUAACCUGGGAAUGGCAUUCAAGACUGGUUAGCUAGAGUCUUGUAGAGGGGGUAGAAUUCCAUGUGUAGCGGUGAAAUGCGUAGAGAUGUGGAGGAAUACCGGGUGGCGAAGGCGGCCCCUGGGACAAAGACUGACGCUCAUGUGCGAAAGCGUGGGGAGCAAACAGGAUUAGAUACC